rnacentral:misc_RNA from 1 species
GGAAAUUGUAAAAGCUUGAAGAUUAUUGAUCUCUCAUUAAAUUUUUUCUCCGGAGCCAUACCACAGUCCCUGGGAAGCCUCUCAAAUAUUGAAGAGCUCAUGCUUAGCAACAAUAACAUCUCUGGUUCGAUCCCAUCUGUUCUUUCAAAAGCCACAAAUCUGUUACAGUUGCAGCUUGAUACUAAUCAGAUAUCGGGCACUAUUCCAGCAGAGCUUGGUAAGUUGACACAGUUAACAGUCUUCUUUG